rnacentral:sRNA from 1 species
GCCCAGUGCAGUGGCGCACACCUGUAAUCCCAGUGGCUCGGGAGGCUGAGGCAGGAGGACCACAAGUUCAAGGCCAGCCUCAGCAACUUAGCGAGGACCCAAGCAACUUUGUGAGACCCUGUCUCUA